CUAACAAGGAUUCCCCUAGUAACGGCGAGUGAAGAGGGAAGAGCCCAAGAUUGAAAGCUGGCGCCUUCGGCGUCCGCAUUGUAAUCUCAAGAAGUGUUUUCCGCUUCGGACCAUGCCUAAGUCCCUUGGAAAAGGGCAUCAUAGAGGGUGAUAAUCCCGUACAUGGCAUGGAGCGCCCGAAGCUUUGUGAUACGCUUUCUAAGAGUCGAGUUGUUUGGGAAUGCAGCUCAAAAUGGGUGGUAAAUGCCAUCUAAGGCUAAAUAUUGGGGAGAGACCGAUAGCGAACAAGUACAGUGAUGGAAAGAUGAAAAGAACUUUGAAAAGAGAGUUAAACAGUACGUGAAAUUGCCAAAAGGGAAGGGUAGGAGGUCAGAGAUGCGUUCUAGGAUUCAGCCUUGCUUUUGCAUGGUGUUUUUUCUAGUUUGCAGGCCAACGUCGGUUUUGGGCACUGGAGAAGGGUGGAAGGAAUGUGGCACCUCUCGGGGUGUGUUAUAGCCUUCUACUGGAUACAGCGACCGAGACCGAGGACAGCAGCGUACUCGCAAGAGCGGGCCUUCGGGCACCUUUACGCUUAGGGCGUUGGCAUAAUGGCCCUCUACCACCGUCUGGA
rnacentral:rRNA from 1 species